rnacentral:rRNA from 1 species
CCUACGGGAGGCAGCAGUAGGGAAUAUUGCUCAAUGGGGGAAACCCUGAAGCAGCAACGCCGCGUGAGUGAAGAAGUAUUUAGGUACGUAAAGCUCCAUUAGCAGGGAAGAAAAUGACGGCACCUGACUAUGAAGCACCGGCCAACUACGUGCCACCAGCCGCGGCAAUGCGUGGGGAGCAGGCGUUAUCCGGAUUUACUGAGCGUAAAGGGAGCGUAGACGGCAGCGCAAGUCUGGAGUCAAAUUCCAUGGCUUAAACAUGGAACAGCUGUUGAAACUGGGCCGCUAGAGUGCAGGAGAGGUAAGCGGAAUUCGUAGUGUAGCGGUGAAAUGCGUAGAUAUUAGGAGGAACACCAGUGGCGAAGGCGGCUUACUGGACUGUAACUGACGUUGAGGCUCGAAAGCGUGGGGAGCAAACAGGAUUAGAUACCCGUGUAGUC